rnacentral:rRNA from 1 species
GACGAACGCUGGCGGCGUGCUUAACACAUGCAAGUCGAACGGAAAGGCCCGGCUUUUGCGGGGUGCUCGAGUGGCGAACGGGUGAGUAACACGCGAGUAACCUGCCCUUGUCUUUGGGAGAACUUCAGGAAACUGGGGCUAAUACCGGAUAGGAGCUCCUGCUGCAUGGUGGGGGUUGGUAAGUUUCGGCGGUUGGGGCUGGACUCGCGGCUUACGCGCUUCUUUGGGGGGUAGUGGCUUACCAAGCCUUUGACGGAUAGCCGGCCUGAGAGAGUGACCGGCCACAUUGGGACUAAGGUACGGCGCAGACUCCUACGGGAGGCAGCAGUGGGGAAUAUUGCACAAUGGGCGGAAGCCUGAUGCAGCAACGCCGCGUGCGGGAUGACGGCCUUCGGGUUGUAAACCGCUUUCGCAUGUGCCGAAGCGUGAGUGACGGUAAUGGGUAAAGAAGCACCGGCUAACUACGUG